rnacentral:rRNA from 1 species
GAUGAACGCUAGCUCCAGGCUUAACACAUGCAAGUCGAGGGACCGGCGCACGGGUGAGUAACACGUAUCCAACCUGCCCUUUUCUCGGGGAUAGCCUUUCGAAAGACAGAUUAAUACCCGAUAUAAAGGAUGGGGAUGCGUUCCAUUAGGUUGUUGGUGAGGUAACGGCCCACCAAGCCUUCGAUGGAGAGGGGUUCUGAGAGGAAGGUACACCACAUUGGAAAUGAGACACGGUCCAAACUCCUACGGGAGGCAGCAAGGAGGAAGAUUGGUCAAUGGGCGUUAGCCUGAACCAGCCAAGUAGCGUGAAGGAUGAAGGCUUAUGGGUCGUAAACUUCUUUUAUAGAAGAAUAUGUAUUAUAUGAAUAAGGAUCGGCUAACUCCGUGCCAGCAGCCGCGGUAAUUC